rnacentral:rRNA from 1 species
UACGGAGGAUGCGAGCGUUAUCCGGAUUUAUUGGGUUUAAAGGGUGCGCAGGCGGUCCUGCAAGUCUGGAGUGAAACGUAUGAGCUCAACUCAUGCAUGGCUCUGGAAACUGGAGGACUGGAGAGCAGGAGAGGGCGGUGGAACUCCAUGUGUAGCGGUAAAAUGCGUAGAUAUAUGGAAGAACACCGAUGGCGAAGGCAGAUCUCUGGGCCGCAACCGACGCUGAGGCGCGAAAGCUAGGGGAGCGAACAGG